AGUGCUCCCUCAGUCCCUGGAGUUCCCAGCCAAGCCACAGACCUGCCUCUGAGGAAGGGAAUCGAGCAGGGAGUAGGAGGGGACCUCUGGGGACUCGGGCCUGGAGCUCCUGCCUGCCUGGAUGAAGAGGAGGUCAAGACUUUGUCCCCCACUCCGCAAGAUACCCUCUCUGUUCCGGAGCGGUGGGUCCCUCCCCUGUUAGGACCUUGUCUCCCUCAGGACUGGACCUGGAUCCUGGGCCUGCAGUCAGAUUGCCAGUUUCACUUAGAGGUGGAAAUGUCAACCCACUGGUUGGAAUGGGAAGGUGAGACAGGAUUUCACCAUGUUAGCCAGGAUGGUCUUGAUCUCCUGACCUCAUGAUCUGCCCACCUCGGCCUCCCAAAGUGCUGGGCUUACAGGCGUGAGCCACCGUGCCCGGCCAAAAAUAACUUUUAAAAACAUGAGUAUAGCAUACACACACACAAAAGUCCACAAAUCCUAGGUGUACCACUUGAUGAAUGAUCCCAACGUGAGCACACCUCUGGAUUACCACC
rnacentral:lncRNA from 1 species